rnacentral:rRNA from 1 species
UACAGAGGGUGCGAGCGUUGUCCGGAAUUCCUGGGCGUAAAGGGCGCGUAGGCGGCCUGAUAAGUAGGGGGUGAAAUUCCGUGGCUCAACCACGGAACUGCCUUCUAAACUGCCAGGCUUGAGCACGGUAGAGGCAGAUGGAAUUCCCGGUGUAGCGGUGGAAUGCGUAGAGAUGUGGAGGAACACCAGUGGCGAAGGCGGCUUUCUGGUCUGUAACUGACGCUGAGGCGCGAAAGCGUGGGGAGCAAACAGG